UUUCAGUUUAUUUUUUCUGAAAAAUUGGUGCUACUAGCCAAGGAUUGAACCAAGAAAUUUCAUGUUGCUGACUACAUAUACCUGAACAUGGUGGCUUGAACUUGGUUACAGUAAUUCUUGGACAUGAUGCUAGAGUGAUACCUUGCAUCUUUCUCAAAAUAAUGGUACACUUGUCAUACGUGUCAGGAGGCUUGGCAUGUGGUAGAAGAAAACAGAGAAUUCCUGCUAGCAUCCAUU
rnacentral:lncRNA from 1 species